CCCGGGAUAGCAUGUGCUAGCAAGGCUACAGAUGAAGAUGUUAUACUGGCUCAACAAACAAAUGAUAAGCACGAUGGGAGAGUGAGGGACUGGUGGAAAUUGACUGAGGACUACUGCUGGACAGGGUCUGAAAUGACAGGACAGGUUAGAACUGGCAGAGGUCUCUGGCCCUGGAGCGUGGUAGACAAAUCCUGCCCCUGAAAGACGGAGCACGUAGGGGCUGAGAGAGCACAAGUCUGCCCCU